CAACACUAGACCCCCAGGCCUUUCCUGAGGAAGAGAGGCAGGCUGGCCUUGAAAGUAAAAAGUCAUUUUCCCAGGAGUUCUCUCCAUUUGAGCCAACCCAAGAGGAAGGAUGAAGCCUCAGCGUGGAGGAAGAUGUGGCUGAAAACCUCGAGACUGGAUAGUUUGUCAGACAGAAACGAGGGAGAGAAGUGCCUCAGCUGCAGAGAGCCAGAGAGGGUGGUGUGCCGGGCGGCCGGAAGUGUGCAGCCAGAGGCCAGGGCAGAGAGGAGAGGCCGGAUCUGAGGGGGCUGGUGAAGGCGCUCUCCUGAGAAGGCCCAGCACGUGGCUCAGUCAGCACAGCUUCUGAAAGGAGUCUCUCUGCUCGGGGAAAUCACGAUCUUCACGAGGGCAGAGGGAAUGUUGCAUGUAUCCCAGAAUCCACUGCCUCACUCCCAACACAUGACGCACCCCCUGUCAAGGCCGAAACUAAGCCGACAUCAGGAAGCCUUGCGGCAUCCCCCAAGGGCGUCAUCCACCCCCUCCCUACAGCCCUCUGUAUUAAGGUGUGAGCUGUCUCUCCUAGUCCAAGGCAGCCGGCCAGGUUCCAGCUGGGAGGCAGAGCUGGGCCAGCACCGCACAGCUGAACAGGGCUCAAGGCCGCUCCAGGAAGACAUCCCGGCCUUCCUGCCUUUGAGACACUAAGGCAAACAGGGACGAUGAAUACGUAGCGGCUGAAAAACAAGUGGCCAGACCAUACUUGCCCCCACUUGUUGGAGCAGGCCAGCCUGGUUACACAUGAAACUUAGAGCUGCUUUCUCAGCGGCACGUUUUGUUUUUGUAACUUUUUACUUUGAUAUAAUCUCA
rnacentral:lncRNA from 1 species